UACACAUGCAGUCGAACGGCAGCGCGGGGCAACCUGGCGGCGAGUGGCGAACGGGUGAGUAAUAUAUCGGAACGUACCCAAGAGUGGGGGAUAACGUAGCGAAAGUUACGCUAAUACCGCAUACGAUCCAAGGAUGAAAGCAGGGGAUCUUCGGACCUUGUGCUCCUGGAGCGGCCGAUAUCUGAUUAGCUAGUUGGUGAGGUAAAGGCUCACCAAGGCCACGAUCAGUAGCUGGUCUGAGAGGACGACCAGCCACACUGGAACUGAGACACGGUCCAGACUCCUACGGGAGGCAGCAGUGGGGAAUUUUGGACAAUGGGCGAAAGCCUGAUCCAGCAAUGCCGCGUGAGUGAAGAAGGCCUUCGGGUUGUAAAGCUCUUUUGUCAGGGAAGAAACGGUGAGGGCUAAUAUCCNUCGCUAAUGACGGUACCUGAAGAAUAAGCACCGGCUAACUACGUGCCAGCAGCCGCGGUAAUACGUAGGGUGCAAGCGUUAAUCGGAAUUACUGGGCGUAAAGCGUGCGCAGGCGGUUUUGUAAGUCUGACGUGAAAUCCCCGGGCUCAACCUGGGAAUUGCGUUGGAGACUGCAAGGCUAGAAUCUGGCAGAGGGGGGUAGAAUUCCACGUGUAGCAGUGAAAUGCGUAGAGAUGUGGAGGAACACCGAUGGCGAAGGCAGCCCCCUGGGUCAAGAUUGACGCUCAUGCACGAAAGCGUGGGGAGCAAACAGGAUUAGAUACCCUGGUAGUCCACGCCCUAAACGAUGUCUACUAGUUGUCGGGUUUUAAUUAACUUGGUAACGCA
rnacentral:rRNA from 1 species